rnacentral:rRNA from 1 species
UACGUAGGGUGCGAGCGUUGUCCGGAAUUAUUGGGCGUAAAGAGCUUGUAGGCGGUUUGUCGCGUCUGCCCGUGAAAAAUUCGAGGCUCAACCUCGAACUUGCGGUGGGUACGGGCAGACUAGAGUGUGGUAGGGGGAGACUGGAAUUCCUGGUGUAGCGGUGAAAUGCGCAGAUAUCAGGAGGAACACCGAUGGCGAAGGCAGGUCUCUGGGCCACUACUGACGCUGAGAAGCGAAAGCAUGGGGAGCGAACAGG